GCGGGAGUGGCUCAGUUGGUAGAGCGGCACCUUGCCAAGGUGCAGGUCGCCGGUUCGAGCCCGGUCUCCCGCUCCA
rnacentral:tRNA from 1 species